UUGUUUUGUUAUGAUAUAUGACGUUCAUUACACCAUGUUUGUAAAAUAGCCCCGAAGGGCACGGUUCACAGAGGUUUGGAAUAGUUAUAAGCCCGUGAGGGCGUUCACUAAUGAUCCUUCCGCAGGUUCACCAACGGAGA
rnacentral:misc_RNA from 1 species